rnacentral:rRNA from 1 species
AACCCGGAGAUAGCUGGUUCUCCCCGAAAUAGCUUUAGGGCUAGCGUCCCGUGCUUAGUGCCGGAGGUAGAGCACUGGAUGGGCUAGGGGGCGUUGAGCUUACCAAACCCAACCAAACUCCGAAUGCCGGCACUCAGGGGUCUCCUCGGAGACCUCGAGAGCGGGGCAGUCGGACCGUGGGAGAUAACUUUCAUGGUCGAGAGGGAAACAACCCAGACCGCCGGCUAAGGUCCCCAAGUCCAGGCUAAGUGGGGAAGGAGGUGGGACUGCUGAGACAGCCAGGAGGUUGGCUUAGAAGCAGCCAUCCUUUAAAGAGUGCGUAACAGCUCACUGGUUUAGUGGUCCUGCGCCGAAAAUGUAACGGGGCUUAAGCCUGGCACCGAAGCCGCGGGAUGUAGUCCUCCAGUCCACAGUCCAGAGUCCCAAGUCUCCUGUCCUUGUAGUCAAAGGCGGAGCAAUCCGCCUGAAGGCUUAAGGGCAGUUGAGCAGGGGCCAAGAGACUAAGGACUGGGUGACUAAGGACUGCAUCGGUAGGGGAGCGUUCCCUGUGCGUUGAAGCCGUACCGGAAGGAGCGGUGGAGCGCAGGGAAGUGAGAAUCCCGGCAUGAGUAGCGUUAAGGGGUGUGAAAACCACCCCCGCCGGAAGCCUAAGGUUUCCUGUCCAAUGUCAAUCAGGGCAGGGUUAGGCGGGAGCUAAGGCGAGGCCGAAAGGCGUAGCCGAUGCACAGCCGGUUAAUAUUCCGGCCCCACCUGGGGGGAGCGAUGGGGGGACGCAGGAGGGUAGGCCAGCCUGCGAUUGGAGGUGCAGGUGCCAAGCCUGUAGGGCGAUGACGGAGGUAGGCAAAUCCGCCUCCUGAGCCUGAGGGGUGAUGGCGGUGCCCUUUUGGGCCGCAAGUGGCUGAUCCCACACUGCCGAGAAAAGCCUCUAAGCGAUGAACCCCAGGUGCCCGUACCGCAAACCGACACUGGUAGGCGGGGUGAGAAUCCCAAGGCGCUCGGGAGAACCCUCGUCAAGGAACUCGGCAAAUUGGCUCCGUAACUUCGGGAGAAGGAGUGCCCCGCUAGGGUGUAGGAGCUAGCCUCCGAAGCCCGAGGGGGUCGCAGUGAAUUGGCCCUGCCGACUGGUUAACAAAACCACAGGUCUCUGCUAACUCGAAAGAGGAAGUAUAGGGGCCGACGCCUGCCCAGUGCCGGAAGGUUAAGGGGAGGGGUUAGCUGGGGGUUCGCCCCCGGCGAAGCUCUGAACCGAAGCCCCGGUGAACGGCGGCCGUAACUAUAACGGUCCUAAGGUAGCAGAAGCUGCCUGCCCCCGUGGUAACACGGGGGGCAAUACCCGGCUAUAUGCGGGAAGGCCCUUAGAGCCCUGUCUACCAGGGGAUGUGUCCCCGGUAAAAAGGGCAGGGAUUGGGUGACCCGCAGGAAACCCUCGAUAGAGGGGAUCCUCAGAGACUAUACGCCGGGCAUCCGGCAGGCCCUAAGGAGGAGAUGAUGGAACUUUCGCCUGAUUGGGUGGUGGGAUUUGUAGAUGGAGAAGGAUGCUUUUACGUGGGCAUUAACCCCCACCCGGAGAUGAGCGUUGGUUAUCAAGUCCUCCCUGAGUUUCGGAUUGUGCAGCACGAAAGAGAUAUCCAAGUGCUUUAUGCCCUUAAGCGCUUCUUUAAAUGCGGUGUAGUGCGACGCAAUCGAGAGGACCGUUACGAAUUGCGGAUACGGAAACUCUCUUGUUUGCAACGGGUGGUGGCGUUUUUUGAACGCCAUCCAUUGAAGACCAAGAAGAAUGUAGAUUUUAAGAAGUUUGCUCGGAUCAUCCGGUGGAUGACAGAGGGCAAGCACUUGGAAAGGGAAGGGCUGAUAGAUAUAAUCGAAACGGCGAUGACAAUGAAUCGGGCUGAUAAGCCAAAGGCGGAAAAAAUCCUUAGGGAGCUUAAGGGCCAGGCCGGAUGAAGAGAUAGUCCACCCCCGGUGGAAACAUCGGGAAAAAGGUGAGCGAAAUUCCUUGUCGGGUAAGUUCCGACCCGCACGAAAGGCGUAACGAGUGGGGCACUGUCUCGACGAGGGACCCGGCGAAAUUGAACUGUCCGUGAAGAUGCGGACUACCCGCAGCAGGACAAAAAGACCCCGUGGAGCUUUACUGCAGCCUGGCAUUGAGUUAGGGCUUAGCCUGUGUAGGAUAGGUGGGAGGCUGGGAAGCCUGGGCGCCAGCCUGGGUGGAGCCACCCUUGAAAUACCACCCUGGUUAAGUCUUGGCCCUAACCUCUAGCCGUGAAUCCGGCGGAGGGACAGUGUCAGGUGGGCAGUUUCACUGGGGCGGUGGCCUCCUAAAAGGUAACGGAGGCGCCCAAAGGUCCCCUCAGGCGGAAUGGAAACCCGCCGUAGAGUGCAAAGGCAUAAGGGGGCUUGACUGCGAGGCCUACAAGCCGAGCAGGGGCGAAAGCCGGGCUUAGUGAUCCCACGGUACCGUGUGGAAGGGCCGUGGCUUAACGGAUAAAAGCUGCCCCGGGGAUAACAGGAUAGUCGGGCCCAAGAGUUCACAUCGACGGCCCGGCUCGGCACCUCGAUGUCGGCUCGUCCCAUCCUGGGGCUGGAGUAGGUCCCAAGGGUUGGGCUGUUCGCCCAUUAAAGGGGCACGUGAGCUGGGUUCAGACCGUCGUGAGACAGGUCGGUCUCUAUCCGCUGCGGGCGCAGGUGGCUUGAGGGGAGCUGCCCCUAGUACGAGAGGACCGGGGUGGACGGACCUCUGGUGUACCAGUUGUUCCGCCAGGAGCACCGCUGGGUAGCCAUGUCCGGCAGGGAUAACCGCUGAAGGCAUCUAAGCGGGAAGCCCGCCCCAAGAUGAGGCCACCCACCGGGUUAACCGGGUAAGGCCCCUGGGAGACUACCAGGUUGAUAGGCCGCAGGUGGAAGCCCGGCAACGGGUGAAGCCGAGCGGUACUAAUGGCCGAGGGCUUAACCCU